rnacentral:rRNA from 1 species
AUUGAACGCUGGCGGCAUGCCUUACACAUGCAAGUCGAACGGUAACAGGUUAAGCUGACGAGUGGCGAACGGGUGAGUAAUAUAUCGGAACGUGCCCAGUCGUGGGGGAUAACGUAGCGAAAGCUACGCUAAUACCGCAUACGAUCUACGGAUGAAAGCGGGGGAUCGCAAGACCUCGCGCGAUUGGAGCGGCCGAUAUCAGAUUAGGUUGUUGGUGAGGUAAAAGCUCACCAAGCCUGCGAUCUGUAGCUGGUCUGAGAGGACGACCAGCCACACUGGGACUGAGACACGGCCCAGACUCCUACGGGAGGCAGCAGUGGGGAAUUUUGGACAAUGGGCGAAAGCCUGAUCCAGCAAUGCCGCGUGUGUGAAGAAGGCCUUCGGGUUGUAAAGCACUUUUGUCCGGAAAGAAAUGGCUCUGGUUAAUACCUGGGGUCGAUGACGGUACCGGAAGAAUAAGGACCGGCUAACUACGUGCCAGCAGCCGCCGUAA